AGUUUCAGAAAUGUUAUUUAUGUAAUGUAACGCAAUAAACAUGACCGGUACGAUUUUAAGGAGGUUGACCUUCAGAGGACAAAGUUCCAGCAAUGCUGCCUCUUCAAGUGGCUUUCGCACAGAAACAUUCAGAGAGGACUUCACAGGAAACUGCAAAUCAGUGAGCUACUAUCUGUCGAUGAUAGAGAAACAUCUGCACCCUAAGAUUAUAAACCGGAAAAAACCCAAAGCAAAACAUGUGCGCGCGCUCCUGAACUUGAAGCAACUGCUUGUUUCUUUUGUAAGGGACCUUGAGUGUAAUUCUAUGGGACUCUGGUUCAAUGAGCUUGUUUGUGAUCAACAGAGAGGUCACGAAGUUCUACUUAAACUUCUCAGUAAUCUGGUCACAACGCCUGUAAGAGCAGGAAAGAAAGGAAUGUCACGUGAUGGUACAGAACAGGAGCUCUGUGCUAAGUGUCUUGUUCUUAUCAGCAACAACAGGCUCGGACUCAACUGUCUCGCUUCAUAUGAGCAUGGCUAUCAGAUCUUACUCCAAGGAUUAGCUAGUGGUAGGUACGGUGCAGUAAAACAUAUUUGCAGUAUUCUGCUUCUGUACUGCAAGCUGGGUGACUCUAACCAUUCUAAACUGAUCUCUCAUAUGGAGUGCUUCAAAAAGAAAGAAGGAAACGAAAGUAAGUUUAGUGUGAUUAUAAAGUUGUUAUCGGAAAGAGUUGAGGACUUCACCUUCACUUCCACAUUAUUAAACCUACUCACUGCAGUUGUUCAUUCUUCUCCUUCUCUUAAUAUCCGAACCUUCUACCAGCAAGAAGUAGAAUUAGAACUAGCAGUUGAAAGUAUUAUAGAGGGAGUACCCACAACUGCUGUAUCGCUCCACAAAGCUAUGCGGGAGUGGCGGGACAACUGUAUUGAUAUCCCUGUGAUAACCCGGAAACUGGAAGCAGCUCAAGCUAGAUCAGGGUUACUGCAGGAAGAGUGCAGGGCGCUGAGAGAUAAGCUGGGGGAGAAGGAGGAGAUGACACGUGCUCUGGCGCGGAAACAACAGCAACUACUGGGGUCACAUGAUACUACCAAUAAUGAGCUCUCCGACAUGCGUUGCCGAAUGGAGGAUCUCUCCAAGGAACUGAUCAGAGAAAAAGUAAAAGUACAGCGAUUAGAGUCAACUCAAACCAACAGCCAGCCCAGUGUAAACAUAACAAGUUUAGUAAACAACAGCAACACACAUCAGAAAUACUCCUCAACUAGAAGAUCUCGCGGAGAGAGUAAAAACAGGGGUCAAAGUAGCGGAACAGAAGAUGUGGUGCACCGAAGGAAGAGUAGUGCGAGAUCACGGAGACAUCAAGACAAUGAUAACGCAGUGACACACGCCCAGAUCGUGGCUGACAGGAGACUGAGUAACAGAUCUAGUUCGGGAAGUGAUUGUUAUCAUGAUAGGAACGAUAACAAAUACUCGCAACACCCUGGUAAAACAUUACCAGAGCAAAGCAGGAUACCAGGCCAGGGCACACAGAUAGCUCACGUAGCGACUAAAGUACCACUACCUGAAUCCAGUAAUACUGAUCACAAUAAUUCCUACCCCGGCGAUCUCCCACCACUACCCCGCAAAAUGUCCACCCUGAGUCGGAGGAGAGUUCCAGGGUUACCACCUCCUGCUCCACCGGCUCCAGCACCACCACCACCUGCCCAUGUAAUGCCUCCUGCACCUCCACCAACUUCCGCCAACUUUACCCAUACUCCACUAAACAUGGACUUCCCUCCACUUAAUGAGAUCCCACCAGCUCCACCUCUACCUAGUCAGCUACUUUCUGUUUCUACCUCAGUACCACCAGCUCCACCUCUACCUCCACAACUUGCUGCUUCUAACACUCCAUGUGACUCUACCCCUGCUAAAGAGGUGUCAUGUCGGGCUCCUGGAGGCUCGGUCCGAACUUCAGAUGUUAAAAUAUCCGUCAAAACUUCUUACAAAACGUCAGCUAAACCUGCAACUGAACCUUCAGUGAAAACUUCGCCGGAAUCAAAGUCCUCGCCGUCUACUGCCGUACCUGAAUCCAAAGCUAAACCAGCCCCUGCUAAGGUUCCGGCACCCCCUUCUGCCACUUCAGUUGCACCUCCAACUGCUCCACCCAAAGCACCUGUCCCUCCAAAAGCACCCACUUCAGCACCAAAGGCCCCUGGAGCACCUUCUGCACCGCGAGCCCCUGGGGCACCCUUCUGCACCGCGAGCCCCUGGAGCACCCUGUGCACCUGGGGCGCCACCACCCUCAGCUAAAAUGACCUUGUCAAAGCAACCACAAGUUAAAUUACCAUUGUUGCAUUGGAAUGCUGUACGCCGUAACAACGGUACGUACUGGAACGAUGUUAACAUGGGUGAAAUGCUUGAUAAACUGGAUUUGUCCCAGUUCGAGGAACAAUUCAAACUAAAAACUAAGCCUACCUUGAGCAACGUUGCCAAGAUCAUCAAGCGAAAGGUGGAAUGUUUGUCAUUGCUGGACACUAACAGAGCAAGGAAUGCGAUGAUAAUACAGCGCCGGGUUGCUCUACAACCCUCUGAUGUUGCACGCUGUGUAGAGCAGACUGACCUGGGGGAUCUACCUUUGUGGGCGGUGGAACUGUUACACGGUUGUAUACCCUCUCGUGAAGAAGCAGAUAAACUGAUCUCAAACAGCACUAAACUGAACGAGUAUGGAGAGGCUGAAUUGUUCUGUUUCCACCUCAGUAAAGUUAACAGAUAUGACAGGAAGUUGGGCCUCAUGCAGUUCAUUGGAACGUUUGAUGAACAAUAUGCCAGGCUUAGUGGUCAGGUGAACGCAGUGAAAGAAGCUAGUCAUUCAAUAACUGUCAGCGACCGACUGAAGAAAGUUCUAGAGAUUAUCCUUGCUCUUGGAAACUUCAUGAACAGUCAACGCAAGGGUCUUGCAGUCGGGUUCAAGAUUCAGAGCCUUUCUAAGAUCGCGGAGACACAUAGUGGAGAUUACAAGUUCACGCUACUGCACUAUAUUGUAAAGACGAUACAUGCUAACAUGCCUGAACUGAUCGGAUUUACUAUGGAGUUCGAGCAUUUGGAAAGCGCUCAAAAGGUGUUGUUAAAAGAGCUGAUAUCAGAAAUACAGGAAAUGAAGAACAAUCUGGACACUGUCCUAGACGAACGCAACAAACAACGAGACAAUUUCGUUAUCUUCAGUUUCUACAACCGAGCUACGCGGAAAGUGAAGCGUCUUGGAGAACAGGCUAGGCAAAUGUUACAAUCUUACGAGACUGUUUGUAAAGGUUUUGGGGAGAAUCCGCAGAGGAUAGAACCGCAGGAAUUCUUUAAAUACUUCUCAGAAUUCUUCUUGCAGUUUGAUAACAUAGAGAAGAGUUUGUAUCUGAGUGAAGAGAAGAAAAAGAAGAAGAAAGCUGUUCCUCUCACCAGGGAUGUCUCCAGGAACCUGAUCGAGGAGGCCAUGGUUCAGCACUCCACCAUGUACUGAGCUUCUUUGAAAAUAUUUCAUUGUGUUAUGUUUUUUUUUCAGUUUCAUUGACUGAGCUUUAACUAGGAUGUACUUUGGAAAUAGGUAUUUUGAUAAGAUCGAAUCUUGUCCAGGCUCAAUCGUGACUGUGUUAAAUUAUUUAAUUUUGUAUGAUCGAUAACUUACAUUAACGAUAAUUAUUAAACAGCUUUUAAAAUCUACUAUACGUCAUGAUGUGCAUAAAACGUUUGAUGGUUUUUAUGUUUUAAAUUUUACACAAUAAAUAAAUUUGUACUGAUUGUAAUAAUUAGUUAAAUAGAGAAAUUAUUAAUAUAAUGAAAAUGUCCAGUUGACAGUUUAGGGUGCAUUUUUUGUUUAAAGAACUUUUUCGAGGUUGUUAUCAAUAUUACAUGAAUUAUUAGUGCAGGACAUGGACCUGAUAUUGUGCACAUGCAGUUUUUUUGGUUGAAAUGAUCUUGGUUUCUGAUCAUAUCAAAAUUUGUUUGAAUGAUGGUUGCAGAGUGCAGACCACUCUAUAGUCUAUAGUAAUGGGUCGUUCAUAUAUUACUUAACCACUUUUUGGAAAAAAUGUUGCCCCCUCCCCCCUCCGUAAUCAGUUUUACACGUCAUAGUUAUUGUGUCAAAAGUACACUAUCGUAAUCAUUUGGAAACGCCCCCCCCCCCCCCUCGGCUGAUAACGUAAUAUGUGAACGACCCCUAACAUAAUCCACUAGACGUUGUGACAAUAUAAAUAUUAUACUCAAUACUAUUAUCAUUGUUGUGUAUUUACAUUUUUAUGUUUGU